GAUGAACGCUGGCGGCGUGCCUAAUACAUGCAAGUCGAGCGAACAGACGAGGAGCUUGCUCCUCUGACGUUAGCGGCGGACGGGUGAGUAACACGUGGAUAACCUACCUAUAAGACUGGGAUAACUUCGGGAAACCGGAGCUAAUACCGGAUAAUAUAUUGAACCGCAUGGUUCAAUAGUGAAAGACGGUUUUGCUGUCACUUAUAGAUGGAUCCGCGCCGCAUUAGCUAGUUGGUAAGGUAACGGCUUACCAAGGCAACGAUGCGUAGCCGACCUGAGAGGGUGAUCGGCCACACUGGAACUGAGACACGGUCCAGACUCCUACGGGAGGCAGCAGUAGGGAAUCUUCCGCAAUGGGCGAAAGCCUGACGGAGCAACGCCGCGUGAGUGAUGAAGGUCUUCGGAUCGUAAAACUCUGUUAUUAGGGAAGAACAAAUGUGUAAGUAACUAUGCACGUCUUGACGGUAGCUAAACAGAAAGCCACGGCUAACUACGUG
rnacentral:rRNA from 1 species